AUUGAACGCUGGCGGCAUGCUUUACACAUGCAAGUCGAACGGCAGCGCGGGCUUCGGCCUGGCGGCGAGUGGCGAACGGGUGAGUAAUGCAUCGGAACGUGCCCAGUAGUGGGGGAUAGCGCGGCGAAAGCCGGAUUAAUACCGCAUACGACCUGAGGGUGAAAGCGGGGGACCGAAAGGCCUCGCGCUAUUGGAGCGGCCGAUGUCGGAUUAGCUAGUUGGUGGGGUAAAGGCUUACCAAGGCGACGAUCCGUAGCUGGUCUGAGAGGACGACCAGCCACACUGGGACUGAGACACGGCCCAGACUCCUACGGGAGGCAGCAGUGGGGAAUUUUGGACAAUGGGGGCAACCCUGAUCCAGCCAUGCCGCGUGCGGGAAGAAGGCCUUCGGGUUGUAAACCGCUUUUGUUCGGGAAGAAAUCCUGUGGGCUAAUACCCCGGGGGGAUGACGGUACCGGAAGAAUAAGCACCGGCUAACUACGUG
rnacentral:rRNA from 1 species